rnacentral:rRNA from 1 species
AACAAACGCUGGCGGCGUGCCUAAUACAUGCAAGUCGAACGGGGAAAGUAGCAAUACGAGUACUAGUGGCGCACGGGUGAGGAAUACAUGGGUAAUCUGCCCUCGAGCUCGGGAUAACCAGUCGAAAGACUGGCUAAUACCGGAUAUGACCACAAGAUCUGAGGAUCAAGGGGUAAAAGGUUUUUCGCUUGAGGAUGAGCCCAUGUGGGAUUAGCUAGUUGGUGUAGGUAACGGCUCACCAAGGCGACGAUCCCUAACCUGGUCUUAGAGGAUGAUCAGUCACACUGGAACUGAGACACGGUCCAGACUCCUACGGGAGGCAGCAGUAGGGAAUAUUGCACAAUGGAGGAAACUCUGAUGCAGCGACGCCGCGUGAGUGAUGAAGGCCUUCGGGUCGUAAAGCUCUGUCGUAUGGGACUAACAAAAUAGAAGGUACCAUGCAAGAAAGGGAAUCGGCGUAACUUCGUGCCAGCA